rnacentral:misc_RNA from 1 species
AGUUUUCUAAAUGGCGCACGCACGGCUCAGCUGUGUGUGGCUGUGUGUUUCACGACUCAUCCGCGAUAUGAAAUAAUGCAUUUUACUGUGUUUUUUAUUCAAUUAUUAACCAAGUGCUCGACCGGGACAAAGUGAUAUUAGAGAGAUGGAUUUGCAACAAAUGUAGCAGCUGGAAUCAAUCGGAGAUUCAGCGCCGCAUAGAGAAGGACGGGAGAAUCUUAGCUUUAAUGAACUCACAGACGUGACCGUGGUUGUGAAAGCUUGGCUGUAGGAUUUAGGAUUAUAAAAUGGAGAAUGUUAGAGACGAAGACAGGCGAAGGCGCCUCAGACAUCUUGAGGAGAGGAUAAAAGAUCCUCGCAGUGUCACCAACAUCGAUUGUCUUUUGGACACCGUACAAGCUCUAACCUCGGAUUGCGAUCAUCCGAGCGUCAGACGGAUGAAAAAUGUUGAGGCUUACAUGAACAGAUAUGACUCAGUUGCUCGAGAUAUAUGUAAAAUGAGGAUGCGAACCGAUGAUUUUACUCUAAUAAAAGUCAUUGGUCGUGGUGCAUUUGGCGAAGUGCAAUUAGUCAGACACAAGUCAACACAGAAGGUCUUUGCCAUGAAGCUGCUCAGUAAAUUUGAAAUGAUCAAGAGAUCGGACUCAGCGUUUUUUUGGGAAGAAAGAGACAUAAUGGCACACGCCAAUUCUCAGUGGAUAGUUCAAUUACAUUUUGCGUUUCAAGAUAACAAAUACCUCUAUAUGGUAAUGGACUACAUGCCUGGUGGAGAUCUUGUCAAUCUUAUGUCAAACUACGAUGUGCCUGAAAAAUGGGCAAAGUUCUACUGCGCCGAAGUUGUUCUUGCCUUAGAUGCUAUACAUUUAAUGGGAUUCGUCCACAGAGAUGUCAAGCCCGACAAUAUGCUAUUGGACAAACAUGGCCAUUUGAAACUGGCAGACUUUGGGACCUGCAUGAGAAUGGAUGCGGAUGGAUUAGUACGGUCUGAUACAGCAGUUGGUACACCAGACUAUAUAUCUCCCGAAGUGCUGCAGUCUCAGGGAGGGGAAGGAGUUUAUGGAAGAGAGUGUGACUGGUGGUCAGUUGGUGUUUUUUUAUAUGAAAUGCUCGUUGGAGAUACGCCAUUCUAUGCGGAUUCACUGGUUGGUACAUAUUCAAAGAUCAUGGAUCAUAGGAAUUCGUUGCAUUUCCCGCAGCAAGAAGCGGAUAUAUCACAUGCAGCGAAGAGUUUGAUAUGCAAUUUCUUGACCGACCGUACUAAAAGAUUGGGUAGAAACGGCGUUAAUGAAAUAAAGUGCCAUGCGUUUUUCAAGAACGAUCAGUGGACAUUUGAAAAUCUAAGGGAAUGUGUACCACCUGUUGUACCUGAGCUUUCGGGCGACGAUGACACCAGCAAUUUUGAUGAUGUUGAUAAAGAAGAUGGACCAGAGGAAAGUUUUCCUGUACCAAAAGCGUUUUCAGGCAAUCAUCUGCCCUUUGUCGGGUUCACUUACUCAGGGGAUUACCAAUUGAUGUCCGGUACCGGUAGGGAGUCCGUUGACGGACUCACAAAUCAUAUAAACAACGGAAUCAGUGACGAUGUAAAGAUAUCCCAGUUAGAAAAUUUACUUGAACGAGAAAAACGGCAAGUAGACACACUCGAAGCGAGACAGAGGGCUUUGACUGCCCAACUAGAGGCUGUGACAAGACGCGAGGUGGAAUUGCAGGAAGAAACAGCAAGAGCGGACAAGGAAUUGACCCUCCUCAGACACAAUUUUAAAGAAACGCAACGCAGAUCGGAGCAUGAGGCAGAAGCCAGACGUAAGGUUGAGGCGUCAUUGAUAGAACUUAAGAAAAAGUUUGAUGAAGAGCAGUCCAAGAGAGCAAGGGAUGCCAGUAACUCUCAUCAAACGUCAGAGAGAAUACUAACCCUUGAAAAACAGCUGAAAGAAAUGCAGGCUAAGCUUGAGAGGGAAACUGAUAGUGCGGGAAGGUUGCGUAAACAAGCUGCCGAAGUUACGGUUGCUAGACAAGCUGCCGAACAGAUGACAAAUGAACUUCAAGUUGCCAGGGCGCAACUGCAGGCGCAGAGAGACUCUCUACAACAAGAAGUUGCUGCUUUACAGGGCCAAUUGUCCAAGGAGCGGAGUUCACGAUCUCAAGCAUCUACCUUGACUGCAGAGCUUGAGACUCGAUUGUCUGCCCUGCAUGUAGAACUGGAGCACAGUCGUCGUCGUGAAGAAAAAGCAACUUUGGAUAACCGGCAAUUAAGCGAAAGAGUUUCUUCACUGGAAAAAGAAGCUGCAGGACUGACUUUGGAGUUGAAAGCAGCCCAGGCAAGGUACAAUCAGGAAGUUGCAGCCCACCAAGAAACGGAAAGAUCAAGAAUGCUAUCCAAGGAAGAAGCAAACAUGGAAGUAGUUAAAGGACGUGCCGAUAGAACGUUUACAGUAAAACUAAAUGAAGAGAAGAGUGGUAGACAGCGAGCAGAACUCCUUGCUCAAGAAAAAGAGCGCCAGACAUCCAUGCUGUCUGUCGACUAUCGUCAAAUUCAACAAAGAUUGCAGAAACUUGAAGGCGAACAUAGGCAAGAAGUGGAGAAGGUCAAAGCACUGCAGGGUCAAGUUGAACAGGAACAGCAAAAGAGAAACGUACUACAAUCAGAAUUCGGGCAACAAUCUUCUGAAGCUGGAAGACUCAGAGCAAGAGAGCAACAAUUGGUUGGCGAAGUAGCUCAUCUCAGGGAAGCUAAAAGGCAAAUAGAGGAAGAAUUGCACCACCUUAAAACUCAACGAAGUGUAGAUUUAUUACAAACUAAAGAAUUGCAAGAACAGUUGGAGGCUGAGGCCUAUUUCUCAACACUUUACAAAACCCAGACGCAGGAGCUCAGGGAGGAACUAGAUGACAAAACGAGACAUCAGCAAGAAUUGGAAGAAGAACGUUGCUCACUGGUUCAUCAAUUACAGCUAUCUCUCGCUCGCGCCGACAGUGAGGCCUUAGCAAGGUCAAUUGCUGAAGAAACAGUGGCAGACUUGGAGAAGGAAAGAACAAUGAAAGAAUUAGAGUACAAAGACAGCAUAGCAAAGCAUCGUCAGGAAUUAAAUGCCAAGGAACAAUCUAUAAAUGUGCUUAAAGAGAACGAAAACGAAAUUAAGAAAACGACGGAGCUAUAUUUGAAAGACAAAGAGGAUUUGAAUAAGCGUUUAAAAGAUUUACAAGAACAACUGAGUAAGGAACAGUCUAAUUCUGAGGAGAUAGAUAGACUCAGUGGUAAACUAAAGACAGAGCAGUUACUUAAACAGCAGGCUGUUAAUAAACUGGCUGAGAUAAUGAAUCGGAAAGAUAUAUCGUCAGGUACUAAAACUCGAAACAAAGUUCCUUCUGCUGAUUUGCGUAAGAAAGAAAAAGACUGCCGUAAGUUACAACAAGAAUUGACGCAGGAGAGAGAAAAAUACGGACAGUUGGCAGCUAAGUGGCAAAAAGAUCUUCAAGACUUACAGGCCCAACUUGUCGAGGAGAGCCAGGUAAGGCUGAGACUGCAGAUGGAGGUUGAUUCAAAGGAUUCUGAAAUAGAAACGCUACUGAUGAAAAUAGCGUCAAUGAAUUCAGAGACAGCGAGUCUUUCUUCAGCAGAAAACGACGGCGAAGAUGCUGUUUUGUCAGAACACGGUGCCUUACGAUUAGAAGGUUGGCUGAGCGUACCUAACAAGCAAAAUAUCAAAAGACACGGGUGGAAGAAGCAAUACGUUGUUGUAUCAUCUAAAAAGAUAAUAUUCUACAACAGCGAAAACGACAAGAUGAAUGCGGAUCCAAUACUAAUUUUAGAUUUAAGCAAAGUCUUCCACGUUCGCUCUGUGACUCAAGGAGACGUUAUACGAGCCGAUGCCAAAGAUAUUCCAAGGAUAUUUCAGUUAUUGUACGCCGGUGAGGGUGAGGCAAGACGUCCGGGUGAUGAAAGUAACGCAUUGCCAGGGGUAGAACUGCCGCAAUUAAUGGAUAAGCCUGGUACCUUGUGGUUAAAGGGUCAUGAAUUCAUUUCUAUAACCUAUCACAUGCCAACUACUUGCGAAGUAUGUACAAAACCGUUAUGGCAUAUGUUUAGACCACCUCCUGCUCAAGAAUGUCGAAGGUGUCGUAUCAAAGUACACAAAGAGCAUUUGGAAAAGAAGGAAGAUGCUAUAGCACCUUGUAAAUUACAUUACGAUCCAAAUAGUGCCAGAGAAUUACUAGUUCUGGCUGGUAGCCCUGAUGACCAAAAGUAUUGGGUAACGAGGCUGUCAAGAAGGAUUCAAAAAUGCGGUUACAAAGCAAACUCCCACGUCGAUGGAACAGGGCAACGAGUUUCUCCAAGGUAGCGUAGGUGGACAGCUCAUCCAGGGACUUAGUAGCUCUUGUGUUGUGGCGUCGCAUGAUUGGGUGUAGAGAGGGAAUCUACAAGAUCAACGCUAAAGCCUUACUUGUCGGUUCCACAGCGAUCUGCCACUCUACCUGCCAACGCUAGUAUGGGCAAAUAAUCUUAAUGCGUUUUCCACAACGAUUUCAUGAGAACGAAAAAUUGAUUUUUUUUUUAAUUGCAAUUGUCUCCAUAUAAAUAUAUCUAGAAUGAGUCUAACCAAAUCUCGAAACUGGAUAUGGCUUGCCUGUUGCAAGGUCCCGCUUCUUAGCCAAUCAGCUCAACAUUAUUCAGAUGGACCAUCUCGAAGGAUAUGCCUUAAAGCUACUGAAUGGUCAUGAUUGACCAGCGUGAAUAGUUUGUGUGAUUAUCCAUGUAUACAUGUGCAAACAGAGUGUCCAUUAUAGUUCUUUUUGGGUCAGUUUACAUGGCUAGAUGUCAGAUUAGUUUAGCGGGUCGAUACUUGAAAUAACCAAGCGAUACCCAUUUUCAAAAAGUUGGACAAACUCAUUCUGUAUAUAUCUAUUUAUAAAUAUUUUUGGUCGCUUUUUGUUUUCUUGUAAAUAUGUCACAUACAGAAUGUGGACGUAUCUUUAAGUUCUGCUCCCCCCCUCUCCCUCGCUCUCCUUCCCUUUCCAUGUAGGAUUAUUGCAUAUGUGAUUUGUUAGAAGUCAAUGUUACAGCAGCUGCUUUACAAGGUUCUAUCGAUAGUUUCUAAUUAAGAAAUAAUAGAAUUGAAAGACAUUUGAUAUUAAUUAAAUACAUUACAAAAUUUCAUUAACAAUAUUCUAGUGCAAAGAUUAUAUUUAUGUGCAGGACGCAUUCAAUUUAUUGAACGAUCGUCUUAUAUCAAUAUGCUCAUUGUCACUUCAGAUGUGAAUUCAGAAUUGAGAUAUUACCAACUACGAAUUACCAAGUGUGAUAACAUUAUUCACAUUUUUUUUUUCAAAUACCUUCAAAACUUAUGUCCCAGUACCAGUUGACUUGCAUCUUUUUCAUGCUUAUUUAAUUUUCACCUUGCAUUUGCUUUGAACUCCAUCCUAUUUUCAUAUUUAACACAUUUUCGGACUUUUGAAUUUUUGAUAAAAAUCUUCCUUUUUUUCCAAUUCCUAUUUCAAAACUUACAAUAUUGCUGCGAAAAACUUAUUCAACUAACAGUGCAAAAGUUAAACGAUUUUAGGGCACAGUCAUACAAGAAAAGUACAGUUGUAAUGUAUAAAAAAUAAAUUCCAACCCUAGAGGGAAACAAUGAUCUUGUAAACAAUCUUAAAAUCCGUGCAUUUCACUGGUUCGAUUAAAUCUUAGUCAUCGAUGCAAAGAAAAGGAAAAAAGUAAAUAAGUCAAGUGUAAGCAAAAGUUAGAAAUUUAGUGAUGGGUAUAGAUUUCAGGAAUAUAAAAUCAAAAAAAAAAACACAUGGAAUUGAAGUCUUAAAACUACAGUCCCUUGGCAUUAGUGAUAAUUGUUAAUAAAGUAGAUAAACUUUUAUAAAAACAAUCAGAAGUGAUUCAAAAUUUUUAAUAUACACUUUGAUCACGACUUAGAAAUCACUACAACAUAGUGGGAAAUACAAAAAAUAACAUAAUAAAUCAGGAGAUAGACAUACAUCAGCCCACACUUUUUUUUUUACAGAAAAAAUGAAUUCGCCAGUACAUUUUGAUAACAUUUCACGAGAGCAUUCUCGAGUAUGGUAAUUUAAUACGUAACAUCAUUGGAAGAUGCAUAUUAUAUAUGCCCAUUAUCAAUAGCGAUAAAAUCGUUGCAUUUUUUAAUACUCGCAAACUCUCGGACCCAAUUGAGAAAAGUGCUACAAAUUAGAAGCAAAUUUUUAUGUAAUGAUAUAAUGCCAAAAUAUUUGAUUUCGAAAAAAAUUGAAAGACUGUAAUUCAUACACUUGUAGAGUCAAAAGUGUGGAAAUUUCUGGUACAAUUAUUGAUUGUUUAAAAAUUGAUGAUUUAUACACCUGUUGUAAGGAAAGUUUUAAAGCAAUUUCGUCAUGAAUUGAUUCUGGUGUUGGGCCGUUAUUAUAAGUAAACCGCUUCAUAUAAAUUUUUUAAAUUGCGCUCAUAUUGUGUAUCACACGAAUCAUGUCACAUGUUAUGCAAAGACUUGAAAAAAACAUAUGUUAUAAUAAUUUGAAAAAUGAAACGAAAGUGACAUUUUUUUAAGAUAUAAUUGCUAUAAUAAAAACUUAUAUUAAUGAUUGAAAGUUAAUUAUUAAUGCGCAAAAAGAUAACUAAUGUACAGUUGAAGAUCGCAGAUUUUUUCACGUAAUAUUAUUGCCAAAGUAGCGUGACCAGGAAAGUUUUGAAAUUAAACAGUUUUGCUGUUACUAAAUCUCUGUAUAUCCAUGAAUAUAUCCGUAUGAAUAGCUAAUCAUUUAAUAAUAAUUUUCUGCCAUUAUAUGCUAAAUGACGAGCUGGGCACCGAUUCAAAAUGUACCAAUAAUAGAUAUUUCAAUUUAAGUUCAUUUGAAUUAUUUAUUCGUAGAUUUUUCUACAGAUAUUGCAAUUCGAUAUUCCCUGUAUAUGUAAAUAUGAUGGAGAAGAAAAAUCGAAACAGACAGAAAAAAACAUGCCUAGGGAUAUUUGUAUAUCAAUUGUUUUGUAGAAAAUUGAUUUAAAAUACAAAAAUAAGUAUUAUUAUUUUUUAUACAUUCUGUAAAUUAAAUAUUUAAUUUCUUACCUAUCGUAAUAACAUUAACAAUUAUUAUUAUUAUACUGAUGAUAAUAAUGUAGUAAAUUUAGGAAGGUCGUUUGCCCAGCUAGCCACGGAGGCCGCCAAAGUUAACGCGAUUAAAUUAACAAUAAAUAUAAACAUAUUAAACCUACGAAAAGAUAAUAAUUAAGGCAGGAAAAAAUUAAAUAAGCAACUGAGUAAAUCUAAAAUAAAAAUGAAUAAGUAAAAGUGCUAGGCAGCACUACAAGUGAGCUUCUUUGUAUAGUAGAUAUACAUCGUAUACAACAUGUACAUGUGUGUAUAGUGUAUACACAUACCUAUGUAUAUGUAUCAGUAUAUGAAAAUCAAUUUGUUGAAUAAGAAUUUAUAUUGUAACAUAGGUAUACAUGUAUAACAAUCCGUUAUUGUAAUAUUCGGGUAUAAAUCGUGUGCAUGACAAAAAUUGAAUAAGUCGAACAUCAGAUCAUGAUUUUAUGCAAGAACAAUUUUUCAGUUGCAAAAUCUAACUUCUAUUUUUCCUAAUAAAACUGAGAGUGUCUAGUAAAAUGAAUAAUUUUGAGACGUUAACUCUUCAUUUUCCAUGUUGUAUAGGUGAAGCAAGAUCAUUCUUAAUCAAUAGAUAUACAUAGUUAAAAAGAAACAUUAUCCUGCAGGAACAGGAGUAUGAUAACGAAGCAACUAAUGAUAAAUGUCUCGGCAAUAUAUAACAACCAAUCUUUACCGGUUUUAACAUUAGUUUCACAUGUUUUAUUGGCCGAUGUAUACAUACCUAUAAGUACAUUAUACAUCAAUUUAUGUACUAUUAUUAUGCUCUUGCAUGAAAUCUUACCAGCGGUGCUCCUUAAUUCCUUGUCAGUCUGCUGAGUAGCUGAUUGUAGAGAAUUAAAAAAAAAAAAAAUUUAGGAGUGACUGAUCGGGAAUUGAAUCCACAAAACUAAAACUACUGCCCCGUGCCUUCCCUCCGAGAUCCAAAAGAGUUAG